rnacentral:rRNA from 1 species
UACAGAGGGUGCGAGCGUUGUCCGGAAUCACUGGGCGUAAAGGGCGCGUAGGUGGCGCUGCAAGUCGGUGGUGAAAGCUCGUCGCUUAACGGCGAGUCGGCCAUCGAAACUGCAGGGCUCGAGCACUGUAGGGGCUAAUGGAAUUCCGGGUGUAGCGGUGGAAUGCGUAGAGAUCCGGAAGAACACCAGUGGCGAAGGCGGUUAGCUGGGCAGUUGCUGACACUGAGGCGCGACAGCGUGGGGAGCAAACAGG